UCACUCUGACAGUGUAAUGGUCACCUGUGCUGCCCAUUCGAGUUUAAAAAAAAUUAGAUUAGAAUAACGUCUAAUCUUAACGAAACUCUCCACUUUUAUCGAUAGGUGUUAGCAAUUUUUUUUUGUUUUAUUCAUUCCUAAUGUGCAUACUAGGCGUUAGUACUUACCUUGACAUUAGCCCUAGCAGCUUAUUAGGUGCCGUCAAAAGUCUUUUUCUUUUUUGAGCUGUCAAACUAAGCAGACGCACACCUUAGUACCAGCUACAACAUAUACAUAAAUCAAGUGGGUGAAACACGUGCAAAGUGAUCACAACAAAAUAAAACAAAUUAAAUCUGAAAAAUCCCCACACAUCAUUGGGCAAAGAAGUGAAGCAAAGACAUCAUUAAAGUCGCAAACAAACCUAGCCUGGGAUCAGGCGUCUUCUAUGGCCGAAAAUCCACAAGAGUCCCACCCGCACCACCUGGAUUCCCUACCUGGAUCAUUACAAAUAGUUUUUAUCAGGAUGAGUAACCCUAUCAAAAAUAAAAAAAACACCCACUUAGUCUAUCCCGUCUACAUUUAUUCGCAAAUCAAUACUGAUACACCGGAUAGGAGAAAUUUCGGAUAUCACCUAUAAAUAUAAAACGAUAUCAAAGUAUACAAUAGCGAACGAGAGUCGCCUUCCAAUCGUGUAUUACAUUUCUGUUGUUGUUCACAAACACAAAAAUUAAAUUACAUUAAAAUAUUACAAACUUAUAUUGAACUAGAAAUUUAGAAAAGAAAAAAAAUUAGAUGUAAAAGAAAUGAAUACGAAAGAAAUUAUAGAUAUAGAAAAAUAAUAGUAAUAAUUAUAUUCAAUUACAUUAAAAUAGUAUGAACUUAUAUUGAACUAGAAAUUUAAAGAAAAAAAAAAAAAUAUAUAUAUUGUGAAAAGAAAUUAUGAAUUCUAUUAAAGUACAUUAAAUUCUACGAACUCGAAUUGAACUAAAGAAAAACAAAAAUGUAAAUAAGGAAAGGCAUGCAAAAAGAGAAAUAAUGUAGUUGUAAGAUAUAUUUAAGAAAUUCAACCUCUCAACUAAUCAGCCCAACCUCUACGAGACUCCAACAUGAAGGCCUUCAUCGAGGAUCAUCACAUUGGGGUGAGUGAACAAAAAAAUAAAACCUAAAAGAUAACUAAAUGCCUAAAAGAGAAAAAUUUUAAAAGAUCAGAAUGUGUAGGAGGUUAAAAAUUCUAAGAACUGGUUUGUAAGAUUUAAAAGAAAAAAAAAACUGUAUAUGAAAAAAAAAAAAACAAAUUACCUAUCAAUCGGGCAAUUAUGCUAUUCUGCCAUGCUCAUAUCAAUAAUCUCUGCCAAGCCGAUAAGCUUGCAGACAGCAGGUGCUUGUUUGUUUUGCUUUCGUCAUUUGUUUUUUUUUUUUUUGCUAGCCUAAACCUUCAAGUGCAUUCGAACUCAAAUAGAGCAACUUAGCAUCUUAAAAUUUGUUGUCAAUUUUAAAUCUCAAAUAAUGAAUGAGGUCCACCUUAUUAUUAUUAUUAUUAUACUAUAUUAUUAAGCUAGGUUUUAGCCAAUAAUGUUAAUUAACCCAAAAUUCUAAGAUCAUACCUGAAUUGAACAUGAAAUUACUUCUCUUUUAUUAUUGUAAGAUCCUAAAGUUAAGCUGAAGUUUGUGAAAAUAUAUUACUUUAAAA